rnacentral:rRNA from 1 species
GUGAGGAAUUUUGCGCAAUGGGGGAAACCCUGACGCAGCAACGCCGCGUGAGCGAAGAAGGCCUUCGGGUCGUAAAGCUCUGUCAAGUGGGAAAAAAAUCUUUUGAUCAAUAGUCAAAAGACUUGAUGGUACCACUGGAGGAAGCACCGGCUAACUCCGUGCCAGCAGCCGCGGUAAUACGGAGGGUGCAAGCGUUGUUCGGAUUUACUGGGCGUAAAGAGCGUGUAGGCGGUUUAGCAAGUCAGAUGUGAAAGCCCUGGGCUCAACCCGGGAAGUGCAUUUGAAACUGCUUCACUAGAGUAUGGGAGAGGAGAUUGGAAUUCCUGGUGUAGAGGUGAAAUUCGUAGAUAUCAGGAGGAACACCCGUGGCGAAGGCGAUUCUCUGGACCAAUACUGACGCUGAGACGCGAAAGCGUGGGGAGCAAACAGGAUUAGAUACCCUGGUAGUCCACGCCGUAAACGAUGAGAACUAGGUGUAGUGGGUAUUGACCCCUGCUGUGCCGAAGUUAACGCAUUAAGUUCUCCGCCUGGGGAGUACGGCCGCAAGGCUA